rnacentral:rRNA from 1 species
UACGAAGGGGGCUAGCGUUGCUCGGAAUCACUGGGCGUAAAGCGCACGUAGGCGGAUUGCUAAGUCAGGGGUGAAAUCCUGGAGCUCAACUCCAGAACUGCCUUUGAUACUGGCGACCUUGAGUCCGGGAGAGGUGAGUGGAACUGCGAGUGUAGAGGUGAAAUUCGUAGAUAUUCGCAAGAACACCAGUGGCGAAGGCGGCUCACUGGCCCGGUACUGACGCUGAGGUGCAAAAGCGUGGGGAGCAAACAGG